rnacentral:rRNA from 1 species
AGAUUAAGUUAUUAAGGGCGCACGGUGGAUGCCUUGGCACUAGAAGCCGAUGAAGGACGUUACUAACGACGAUAUGCUUUGGGGAGCUGUAAGUAAGCUUUGAUCCAGAGAUUUCCGAAUGGGGAAACCCAGCAUGAGUUAUGUCAUGUUAUCGAUAUGUGAAUACAUAGCAUAUCAGAAGGCACACCCGGAGAACUGAAACAUCUUAGUACCCGGAGGAAGAGAAAGAAAAUUCGAUUCCCUUAGUAGCGGCGAGCGAAACGGGAAGAGCCCAAACCAAMAAGCUUGCUUGUUGGGGUUGUAGGACACUCUAUACGGAGUUACAAAGGACGACAUUAGACGAAUCAUCUGGAAAGAUGAAUCAAAGAAGGUAAUAAUCCUGUAGUCGAAAAUGUUGUCUCUCUUGAGUGGAUCCUGAGUACGACGGAGCACGUGAAAUUCCGUCGGAAUCUGGGAGGACCAUCUCCUAAGGCUAAAUACUCUCUAGUGACCGAUAGUGAACCAGUACCGUGAGGGAAAGGUGAAAAGCACCCCGGAAGGGGAGUGAAAUAGAACCUGAAACCGUGUGCUUACAAGUAGU